AAACUGGGAUUAGAUACCCCACUAUGCCUGGCCCUAAAUCUUGAUGCUUUAUCUUACCUGAGCAUCCGCCCGAGAACUACGAGCGCAAACGCUUAAAACUCUAAGGACUUGGCGGUGCCUCAAAUCCACCUAGAGGAGCCUGUUCUAUAAUCGAUGAUCCACGAUAUACCCGACCAUUCCUUGCAAAAACAGCCUAUAUACCGCCGUCGCCAGCUCACCCUGCUUGAAGGUCCCACAGUGAACGCAAUAGUCCUUACCACACUAAAAAGACAGGUCAAGGUAUAGCCUAUGGGAUGGAAGUAAUGGGCUACAUUUUCUAGCAUAGAACAAUACGGCAAAGGGGUAUGAAACUACCCUUGGAAGGAGGAUUUAGCAGUAAAGUGGGACAAUAGAGCCCUCUUUAAGCCGGCCCUGAGGCACGUACAUACCGCCCGUCACCCUCCUCAAAGGCGCCCCCCCCCCCCCAUAACUAAUAAGCCAUCCAGCCAAAGAUGAGGUAAGUCGUAACAAGGUAAGUGUACCGGAAGGUGCACUUAGAUCAC
rnacentral:rRNA from 1 species